rnacentral:rRNA from 1 species
AUUGAACGCUGGCGGCAGGCCUAACACAUGCAAGUCGAACGAAUGGCGGACGGGGGAGUAAUGUCUGGGAAACUGCCAGAUGGAGGGGGAUAACUACUGGAACCGGUAGCUACUACCGCAUACCAUCGGAUGUGCCCAGAUGGGAUUAGCUAGUCGGUGGGGUAACGGCUCACCUAGGCGACGAUCCCUAGCUGGUCUGAGAGGAGGACCAGCCACACUGGAACUGAGACACGGUCCAGACUCCUACGGGAGGCAGCAGUGGGGAAUAUUGCACAAUGGGCGCAAGCCUGAUGCAGCCAUGCCGCGUGUAUGAAGAAGGCCUUCGGGUUGUAAAGUACUUUCAGCGAGGAGGCGUUACUCGCAGAAGAAGCACCGGCUAACUCCGUUCCAGCAGCCGCGGUAAUUC